rnacentral:rRNA from 1 species
AAUCAACGCUGGCGGCGUGCCUCAGACAUGCAAGUCGAACGCGAAAGUUCCCUUCGGGGAGCAAGUAGAGUGGCGCACGGGUGAGUAACACGUAGGUAAUCUACCUUUGGAUGGGGAAUAACAACCGGAAACGGUUGCUAAUACCGCAUAAUGCAGCGGCACCUAAUGGUGACAGUUGUUAAAGCGGGGGAUCGAAAGACCUCGCGUCUGAAGAGGAGCCUGCGGCGGAUUAGCUAGUUGGUAAGGUAACGGCUUACCAAGGCGAUGAUCCGUAGCCGGCCUGAGAGGGCGGUCGGCCACACUGACACUGACAUACGGGUCAGACUCCUACGGGAGGCAGCAGUCGGGAAUUUUGGGCAAUGGGCGAAAGCCUGACCCAGCAACGCCGCGUGAAGGAUGAAAUCCCUCGGGAUGUAAACUUCGCAAGAACGGGAAGAAUAAGUAAGGGUUAAUAUCCCUUACGAUGACGGUACUGUUUGUAAGCUCCGGCUAACUCCGUGCCAGC